rnacentral:rRNA from 1 species
UNGGAGAGGAAAGUGGAAUUCCUAGUGUAGCGGUGAAAUGCGUAGAUAUUAGGAAGAACACCAGUGGCGAAGGCGACUUUCUGGACGAAAACUGACGCUGAGGCGCGAAAGCCAGGGGAGCGAACGGGAUUAGAUACCCCGGUAGUCCUGNCCGUAAACGAUGGGUACUAGGUGUAGGAGGUAUCGACCCCUUCUGUGCCGGAGUUAACGCAAUAAGUACCCCGCCUGGGGAGUACGACCGCAAGGUUGAAACUCAAAGGAAUUGACGGGGGCCCGCACAAGCGGUGGAGUAUGUGGUUUAAUUCGACGCAACGCGAAGAACCUUACCAGGUCUUGACAUUGAUGGACAGAACUAGAGAUAGUUCCUCUUCUUCGGAAGCCAGAAAACAGGUGGUGCACGGUUGUCGUCAGCUCGUGUCGUGAGAUGUUGGGUUAAGUCCCGCAACGAGCGCAACCCCUAUCUUAUGUUGCCAGCACGUAAUGGUGGGAACUCAUGAGAGACUGCCGCAGACAAUGCGGAGGAAGGCGGGGAUGACGUCAAAUCAUCAUGCCCCUUAUGACCUGGGCUACACACGUACUACAAUGGGAGUUAAUAGACGGAAGCGAGAUCGCGAGAUGGAGCAAACCCGAGAAACACUCUCUCAGUUCGGAUCGUAGGCUGCAACUCGCCUACGUGAAGUCGGAAUCGCUAGUAAUCGCAGGUCAGCAUACUGCGGUGAAUACGUUCCCGGGCCUUGUACACACCGCCCGUCACACCACGAAAGUCGGAAGUGCCCAAAGCCGGUGGGGUAACCUUCGGGAGCCAG